ACGUGGGAAACCUGCCCAGAAGCGGGGGAUAACACCUGGAAACAGAUGCUAAUACCGCAUAACAACUUGGACCGCAUGGUCCGAGCUUGAAAGAUGGCUUCGGCUAUCACUUUUGGAUGGUCCCGCGGCGUAUUAGCUAGAUGGUGGGGUAACGGCUCACCAUGGCAAUGAUACGUAGCCGACCUGAGAGGGUAAUCGGCCACAUUGGGACUGAGACACGGCCCAAACUCCUACGGGAGGCAGCAGUAGGGAAUCUUCCACAAUGGACGAAAGUCUGAUGGAGCAACGCCGCGUGAGUGAAGAAGGGUUUCGGCUCGUAAAACUCUGUUGUUAAAGAAGAACAUAUCUGAGAGUAACUGUUCAGGUAUUGACGGUAUUUAACCAGAAAGCCACGGCUAACUACGUGCCAGCAGCCGCGGUAAUACGUAGGUGGCAAGCGUUGUCCGGAUUUAUUGGGCGUAAAGCGAGCGCAGGCGGUUUUUUAAGUCUGAUGUGAAAGCCUUCGGCUCAACCGAAGAAGUGCAUCGGAAACUGGGAAACUUGAGUGCAGAAGAGGACAGUGGAACUCCAUGUGUAGCGGUGAAAUGCGUAGAUAUAUGGAAGAACACCAGUGGCGAAGGCGGCUGUCUGGUCUGUAACUGACGCUGAGGCUCGAAAGUAUGGGUAGCAAACAGGAUUAGAUACCCUGGUAGUCCAUACCGUAAACGAUGAAUGCUAAGUGUUGGAGGGUUUCCGCCCUUCAGUGCUGCAGCUAACGCAUUAAGCAUUCCGCCUGGGGAGUACGGCCGCAAGGCUGAAACUCAAAGGAAUUGACGGGGGCCCGCACAAGCGGUGGAGCAUGUGGUUUAAUUCGAAGCUACGCGAAGAACCUUACCAGGUCUUGACAUACUAUGCAAAUCUAAGAGAUUAGACGUUCCCUUCGGGGACAUGGAUACAGGUGGUGCAUGGUUGUCGUCAGCUCGUGUCGUGAGAUGUUGGGUUAAGUCCCGCAACGAGCGCAACCCUUAUUAUCAGUUGCCAGCAUUAAGUUGGGCACUCUGGUGAGACUGCCGGUGACAAACCGGAGGAAGGUGGGGAUGACGUCAAAUCAUCAUGCCCCUUAUGACCUGGGCUACACACGUGCUACAAUGGAUGGUACAACGAGUUGCGAACUCGCGAGAGUAAGCUAAUCUCUUAAAGCCAUUCUCAGUUCGGAUUGUAGGCUGCAACUCGCCUACAUGAAGUCGGAAUCGCUAGUAAUCGCGGAUCAGCAUGCCGCGGUGAAUACGUUCCCGGGCCUUGUACACACCGCCCGUCACACCAUGAGAGUUUGUAACACCCAAAGUCGGUGGGGUAACCUUUU
rnacentral:rRNA from 2 species